CUACUUUCCCGAGGCCCAGAUCGUCUAUGAAGGAAAGAUGAUCGGCAGUGCAUUGUGACGUUGUCAUUCUGAUGAGGAAGCUGUCGUUCGUCGACAAGGUUUGCUACGCAAAACCCGAUGUGGCGAUGACAAGAAGAGUGGAGCACGGUGACUUUGUAUUAUAAGGACAAAAUGGGGGAAAACGUGUGCUGGUGGUCACCGGUACUCAGGACAGGAGGGGACGUUCGUUUAAGGCUUGCUUGAGGUGACCUCGGCAGGGCUUGGCCGUGCCGUCGCCCCUCCCCCCUUCCUUUUUCCGUUGUCCUCCGGCCACCACGUGCGGGAACGCCCGCCGCAACCAAGCCGGGGGCGUUUCGAGCGACGAAACCAGCCACGCGGCUUCGAUUGUUCUUUUUCUUGCCGUGAUCGGUCGGCCGAGCCUCAGCAAGCAACUACCGGCAUCCCGUACCAGUCACGCAUGCAGCUGGGAGCAAGAGCUGGGCCCGCCACAAGGUCAAUCGGCAGGAAAGUUUGGAGCGCACCCCAAGGGGACAACAAUUUUUCUUCUUCUGCCUCUUUUGUUUUAUUUUUCUGCAUCGUUUUUCUUCAACUAAACCUACUUUGUUUUCCUCCUGAGAUGUCCAGAGAAAGACCAUCCCCACCGACCAACUGUUCUACGGUCGUGAGUACAGCACCACAAGCGUUGCUAGAAUGUACAAUAUUAUUGCCUCAUAAUUUAGGGAAAAUUACUGGAUUCACACAAACUCCCAACUUUGCUCUCUCGUUCGGAUUGAAUGCAUUAAACACUCACGUUUUCAACUUCAGUCCAGCAACACACGGUGUUCUAGUUCCCUUUUUGUGCGCCUCUUUUUCUUUCUUUCACCAUUAUUAGUGUUAUUUUCUUUCUGUAGUUAGACCCCUUUGUGGGUUUACCUAUAGAUCCCUUGUAGAUGUCAUUAAAUAUUUUAUAAAAUUCCACUCCUUGUUGUGUUUUGAGUUUAAUAAGGAAACCUCUGUCAUCUAGGACUCGUAUUUCAUAAAAUGUAGCAACCUUUAGAUUAUGAGACUGAUAGGUUUGUCGUCGCUUUUCCUAGAUUUUAUACAUCUAAAAGUGACGUGGUACCCUUUAUGAUACAAAAUUAGUUAGAUUUUAACUUUAAAACGUAAGUCGGACUAACCCGGAAGUGAACGCAGACGUUCAACUUCGAC